AGUGAACGCUGGCGGUAGGCCUAACACAUGCAAGUCGAACGGCAGCACAGUAAGAGCUUGCUCUUACGGGUGGCGAGUGGCGGACGGGUGAGGAAUACAUCGGAAUCUACUUUUUCGUGGGGGAUAACGUAGGGAAACUUACGCUAAUACCGCAUACGACCUACGGGUGAAAGCAGGGGACCUUCGGACCUUGCGCGAUUGAAUGAGCCGAUGUCGGAUUAGCUAGUUGGCGGGGUAAAGGCCCACCAAGGCGACGAUCCGUAGCUGGUCUGAGAGGAUGAUCAGCCACACUGGAACUGAGACACGGUCCAGACUCCUACGGGAGGCAGCAGUGGGGAAUAUUGGACAAUGGGCGCAAGCCUGAUCCAGCCAUACCGCGUGGGUGAAGAAGGCCUUCGGGUUGUAAAGCCCUUUUGUUGGGAACGAAAAGCAGCAGGUUAAUACCCCGCUGUUCUGACGGUACCCAAAGAAUAAGCACCGGCUAACUUCGUG
rnacentral:rRNA from 1 species